CACUUCGACCCGCCCUCACUCCUUCCCUGUCUACCCAUUUGUUGUGAGCUACAGUAUGUAUAAAUCUCCGUACCCCUCGCUCUCUUAGGACUAUCAAUCGGUGUGGUGUCAAUCACAGCGGCGGCUUCCCUUUCAUCUCGAUCCUCCCAGUCGCUGCGAGGGAGAAGGCAGAGAGAGAAGAGACAGAACCGGGAAGGAGAGCUACAUUACUUACGGAGCUCCAGUUUGUAUCGGUUUAUAACGCACUCCUCGAUCUUUUAUAUCGUUUAUUACGUUUCAUUUAGCCGUUAUUCAGUUCAAGGAUGUAUGUUCAUUUUAAUAGGGAUAGAUACGCAGUAUUGUUUAGGUGGGGAAAAUAAAUAGUGUUCUACUUGUGGCAAACAGGCUGCACGAGAUUCAGAGACGCAUUUUUUUAAUUCUGUUUUUCCUUAUUAUUAUUUUUUCCACGAAAGGACUGCAACUCUCACAGGACCCCAGAACGAGGAAAUAUAAGCAGAAGUUUUUUUUUCUCCAUGCGCUUUGACCGUUAGCGGAGCUCCCGGGUGUGUGCCCUCCUCCGCCAAAUCUGACGGCACAUCUGACUCUCGUGAUGAGGUUUUGACUUCUGACAUUUUAAAGAGCCGAACUGGCGAGUGCCGCGGGUUGAGCGUGCACUACACAUCCGCUUUUUGCCCAUAACAUCUUCAAUUUCGGAUAUUUAGAAUCUGAAUCAUUGUAAGAAUCCAUAAUACUUCGAAAAACAACGACAAAAAGGAUCUCCUGUUAAUUUAGCUCAAACAAAAAACGUGAUCGCACGCAGUUUCCUCCAGGGUUCCGAGCGCAACACUUCAAGCCGUUUCGAGGAACAUUUUUGGUUGCCUUUUGGGGAUUUCGAUAGUUCCUCCAAUUUGGACAGUGCGAGUACUUCGACUGAAUCAAAAUGCCACAACUUGCAGGCGGUGGUGGUGGCGGGGACCCUGAGCUUUGUGCCACCGACGAAAUGAUUCCGUUCAAGGAUGAGGGAGACCAAGAACAAAUAUUCGCAGAACUCAGUCACUCAGAGGAAGACGAGGGAGACUUGGCAGAUAUCAAGUCAUCUUUAGUAAAUGAGUCAGAGACGAGUCCAAACAGCAACCAUGAUGGAACUAGACAAUCCCAAAUAUCCCAAGACUCAUAUCAUGAAAAACACAGAGACCAUCACGACGAUGGGAAACACCUAGACAUGUACAACAAAGGUCAUCCGUACUCUGGAUACCCAGGUUACAUCAUGAUGACUAAUAUGAACAACGACUCCUACAUGAACAACGGCUCCCUGUCGCCGCCCAUGCCCAGAACGUCCAAUAAGGUUCCGGUGGUGCAGCCGUCGCAUGCGGUCCAUCCGCUCACCCCCCUCAUCACAUACAGCGACGAACAUUUCGCCCCCGGACCCCACUCCGGACACCACCCCCAGGACGUCAACCCCAAACAAGGACAGUACCACUCAUCCUGUCUCUCUACAGGCAUGCAGCGGCAUCACCCCGGGCCAGACAUGACCAACUUCUACCCCCUCUCCCCUGGAGGAGUGGGACAGAUCACGCCCCCACUAGGAUGGUUCUCCCACCACAUGGUCCCGGGUCCCCCCGGCCCCCACGCCACAGGGAUCCCCCACCCGGCCAUCGUCAACCCCCAGGUCAAACACGAGCCCCAGCACGACAACGACCUGAUGCACAUUUUUGCCAGGAAGCCUCAGCACCAGGACCAGAGGAAGGAGCAGGAGCCCAAGAGACCCCACAUCAAGAAGCCGCUGAAUGCCUUCAUGCUGUACAUGAAGGAGAUGAGGGCCAACGUGGUGGCAGAGUGCACGCUCAAGGAGAGCGCCGCCAUCAACCAGAUCCUGGGACGGAGGUGGCAUGCUUUAUCCAGAGAAGAGCAAGCUAAGUAUUACGAAUUAGCCCGCAAGGAACGGCAGCUCCACAUGCAGCUCUACCCCGGCUGGUCUGCCAGAGAUAAUUAUGGGCUCUUUGUAGUGUUCAUCUGCCUCCUCUCUGGACAGCCCCGCUCAGCACCUCUCACCUUCUGCCUCCGCCGCCCCGCCGCCACCACACCACGCUGGGAGAAACACUGCCGGACAGGGAGUAGAGGACAGGACGGCAUAGGGCAGGACAAUACAAUGCAGUACAGACUUUAGUCUCUAGCCCUUACCCCAUUGGUGUUGACAGAUCUGAAAGGACUGAUCUGAUAGGCUAAAGCAAUAAGCCAGGAAGUAGAGGAUGACCUCAUGGUGUCUGAUGGCCUCUACUACCCUAUAGCUGCGUUCGAAUACUCAUACUAACCGCACUAACCGUACUAUUGUGACGUAAAUUGAGUAUGUAGUAUGCUUAUUGGUCAUAGUAUGGAGUUAGUAUGCCAAAAGUUCCCGGAUGUCGUACUAAAUUCACCAAAAUACGAAAUAUACAAGCAGUGGACACUGUUUCUGUGCUUUUAGAACCCAUAAUGAAAUUCUUCAGAAAAUGGCCGUGGCUUUUCAGAUUUGAAGAAAAUGGCGGAAAAUAUGCCGAAGUCUGACGAGAGUGGAUACAAAUGCAUUGCUUUAACUAAUUAUGACCAAUGGUAGGAAAAUGUUGAGCAAUGUAAUAAAGUAAUUACUUUUCAAAUAAGUUAUGUUACACGUUAUGCUGGCUGACAAUUUGUUAGCUAGGCUAACCUUACGAACCGCAUAGCAUAUCAUUACAGCAGUAUGUACCGGUAUGUUAGCUAGCUACCUAACGUUAGUUGGCUACUAAUACAUUGUUGAACUUGCCAGUAUAUUAACUAUAUGCUAACUAACUAACUACCCAACAUUGACUUGAUUAUUCACAGCAUUCUUAGCUUUGCUAAGUGGUAUAGUCGUUGUGUGUUCUCAAUGGGCUGGCUAUCUAUUCCGAUUUCAGAGCACUCUCGUCUGAGUGUGCCAGAGUGCAGAAUAAACGAUGAAUUUACGGACGCUCAACACCUGUUGAAUAUCAACCCUACUCCUCGGCCAGAGCGUCCAGUGUGCGCUCUGAACACUCCGAGUGCGAAGCGCUCUGAAUUAACGAACGAACAAUCUGACAACGCUCUGAGUUUACGAACGCCCAGAGCACUCUCUGGCACUCCAGAUUGAAUUUACGAACACACCCGAAAUCGUAAGAUGUCUGGCUAGUAAUUUGUUAUGCUAACAAGCGGUUGCAUAGCAACAGCAUCAACUUCCGGUAGACAGGCGAAGCGCUAGUACGCUCAACUGAAAGGAUGCCGUUCAUUUACAGUUGACUCAAAUGAACUAAUAGUAUAUAGUAUGUAGUAUAUACUCAUUAAGUAUGUAGUAUACUGUAUGUUUUUAUGGGUAUUUGAACACAGCUUAUGAGUCUCAUAGAGAGGAGCACACACUUAACACCAAGCACCCCUCUGACAUAAACUAAGCCCUUCAUAGUACUGUACCACACACACACACACACAUCCUCACUGUCAUAGACUACUGUACACAUCACCUGCCCCACCCUCUCUCUCCCUCCCUCCUCUCUCUGUCUGCCACAGCGGUGUGAGAGGAACCCAGAUUAGCUCAUCAUAAAUAAGUGGAUUAGUAGACUUUGCAGCAGGAAACCAAAGUGCUGCUCAUAUUUGACUAGAAUGACUGUUAUGCUGCUAUCUCCACCUAUAGUCCCCCUCCCUAGGGGAUUUGGGUAUAAGCUAUAAAUCCACACACUUACUCACAGUGGAGCUCAGUGAUCAGCGCUCGCUGAAGGGGGGGUUGACUGAUGCUCUCCAUGGUAAUCAGUCGAGGACCAGCUCUCCCAAGUAAUAUAUAGCCACAUUUUAAUUACAUAUCGAUGUUUGGUAUUAGGAGACUGAAAAAGACUACAUACGCUGCUGCUGCUACACUUUAAGUCUUUAUAAAAGAAUGGUGAUGGACGUUUUGUUCAUUCUAGGUUGUUAGAGAGCACACACUGAUACAGGUGAGGAGAGGACAACCAAGUUUGCUACUUGCUCCGAUUGGAAGGCAAAGGGUGGGGUUCAAAACCUAACAUUCUGGAAUGGAUCCUACCAAACAUGUCUGUUUGUCAGAGAGCACACUAUACUGAAGUCAGGUGUGGAGAGGAUGGAGACAGCCAGCUCUCAUAGGCAGGGAGUAGAGAUGGUCAGCCCCUCUGACCAAUCCCAGCGUGGUGAUUGGCUGCAGGCCCAGAGAGCGAGGAGUGCUGGUUGGCUGCCUGGCGGGGGAUGAGUGAACGGGGCAAACGGCAGCAGGACUAAGCGUGGUGGAGUGAGGGUGAGUGCUGGAGCCACACUUUAAGCGUUCACCUCGAUAUUUUCUAGGGAAAGAAGAAGAAGCGGAAGAGGGAGAAGAUCCAGGAACCGGCUGCAGACCCCCAUAGAACUCCAUUCGACCCCUCCGCCCUCACUAGAGUGGGCUUUCAGAACCACCAUGCAGGUACAGGCCAGAGAAUGAAAACGGCGUACAUCUGAGCAUAAAUGGAGGAAAACGGAACGCUUUCUCCACGUCGUGCAAAGCGAAGGCAGCAGCUAUGGCCCCUCUGUUAGAGAUGGAGGCCUGCUAGAUUCAAUGAACCCUCCUCCACCUUAUCCCCGACCCCCAAGCCUCAACUCCCGUUCUCAGAGGAAUACCCCCCCCGAACUUGACUUUAUACUCCUCUCCUGCAGUGACUCUCCUAUCUGCUGUAGAAACUGAACUGAACAAGACAAUCACUACUAAAGACCAUCAACCAACCGCAUGCAAACUCCCCAGCCCCCUCACUCCCCAGCCCCCUCACUCCCUAGGCCCUUACACCUUUUUUUUCUUCUUACAAGCAGCUCUAUCUCAAUCCAAGGCACUGCACUGAAAACAGUUCAGCGAUUUCACUUUGUCAAACACAAUUAACACCUCCCCACACAUACCCCAACACCUGUUUCUAAGUUAUUUCUAAGUUAUUUGCCACCUCCGUUCCUUUCCUUUGUACAGCCCACUAUGUUCGACCCUCAACACUCCCCUUUCCCCUCUCUCACUGGAUUUCAGACCACAUGUUUGGGUAGCGGCCUGACCCAACACCUCUUUAGACUGACUGCACUAUCACAAGGAAGAUGGAGGGAUGUCAAUCACAUGUUGUCAAGGAAACAUCCUCUCAAGGCUCCUAUCCUCCAUUUUGUUUUUAAUAACGACCAGUUGGUGCAAAAAAUAUCAACGUUUUAUGAUUAUAGCUUUUACUUUUGAGUUGGAAUUAAUUGAAUGCUUUUUUGUAUUUUGAACUUGGUUUAAAUUUCUCGGUGUAUAUUUUCAGUGAAUGUUUUUUUUUGUUCUUUUUUUUUUAUAUAUAUAUAUACUGGUAUAUAUGAAAAUAAGCUUUGAACACAGGAAAGCCAUUUGUUUUCUUGUUAAAGCGUCUGGCAGAAAAAUGAAAAUUAAGGCUUCUUUUGAUACUAUUUGUAACAAAUAGUGACCUUGACUCGAGUCUUGCUCAGAUGUAAAAUAAAGCUCAGUAUGUGUACUUUUUAAGAAACUGUCAGGAUAUGUCACUUUUCUUGGUAUUUUUGCAGGCAACGUUAGGACAAAGGCAAGUGGUUGCUCAGAGGCCUAUAUUUUAUUGUUCUAAACUGACAAAUGAAGCAGAUAUAUAUUUACCCCAGCACUUGGCAGUGUUCAUUUUAUUGCGAUCAGGGUUGGGGUCAAUUCCAGUCAAUUCAGAAAGUUAACCAAAUUCCAAUUGCAAAUCAACAUUUUCCUCAUUGGAAAGCAUAGAAGAGAAGUUGGAGUUGGAAUUUCAGUGUACUUCCUGAAUUGACCCCAAGCCUGAUUGGAUGGACUUUUCUCUUCUCUAUCUGGUAACUGUGGUCUUUUUGCCUAUGUUGUUUAUUUCAUGCAUUUCUGUAACAUUUUAUUGAUUUCAUGCUCUAUUUUUAGUAUUACUUGAUGCAUUUUUUAUUCAUUGUCGUAUUUUGAAUCACUGUCAUCUUGGUAUUAGCACUUUGCUUCCCAAGUGGCCACAUUUUAACAGUUUCAACAUGUUUUGUUUUUUUAAAGAAAAAUAAAAAGGCAUUGGCUCA